rnacentral:tRNA from 1 species
GCGGAUGUAGCCAAGUGGAUCAAGGCAGUGGAUUGUGAACACCCCAUG